UACGUAGGGUGCAAGCGUUAAUCGGAAUUACUGGGCGUAAAGCGUGCGCAGGCGGCGCCGCAAGUCAGGCGUGAAAUCCCCGAGCUCAACUUGGGAAUUGCGCUUGAAACUACGGUGCUGGAGUAUGGCAGAGGGAGGUGGAAUUCCACGUGUAGCGGUGAAAUUCGUAGAUAUCAGGAGGAACACCGGUGGCGAAGGCGGCUACCUGGGCGGUGACUGACGCUGAGGUGCGAAAGCGUGGGGAGCAAACAGG
rnacentral:rRNA from 1 species